rnacentral:rRNA from 1 species
UACGAAGGGGGCUAGCGUUGUUCGGAAUCACUGGGCGUAAAGCGCACGUAGGCGGGUCUUUAAGUCAGGGGUGAAAUCCUGGAGCUCAACUCCAGAACUGCCUUUGAUACUGAAGAUCUUGAGUUCGGGAGAGGUGAGUGGAACUGCGAGUGUAGAGGUGAAAUUCGUAGAUAUUCGCAAGAACACCAGUGGCGAAGGCGGCUCACUGGCCCGAUACUGACGCUGAGGCACGAAAGCGUGGGGAGCAAACAGGG